GAUCAUUAUUGAAUAAACUUGGUUGGGUUGUUGCUGGUUCUUCGGGACAUGUGCACACCUGGCAAAUGUUUUUAACCACCUGUGCACCUUUUGUAGAUCUGAAAUAACUUUUGAGGAAACUCAGUUUGAGGAUUGCUGUGUGAAAACCAGCUUUCCUUGCAUUUCAGGUCUAUGUUUUAUAUACUCCAUAAGCAAGUAAUAGAAUGUUAUUAUUGGCCUUUGAGCCUUUAAACUAAAUACAACUUUCAACAACGGAUCUCUUGGCUCUCGCAUCGAUGAAGAACGCAGCGAAAUGCGAUAAGUAAUGUGAAUUGCAGAAUUCAGUGAAUCAUCGAAUCUUUGAACGCACCUUGCGCUCCUUGGUAUUCCGAGGAGCAUGCCUGUUUGAGUGUCAUGAAAUUCUCAACCUUUCUGGUUUUUAUUAACUAGUCUGGCUUGGAUUGUGGGGGUUGCUGGCUUCUAAGAAGUCAGCUCUCCUUAAAUGUAUUAGCAAAAUCUUUGCUGACCAUCCUUUGGUGUGAUAAUUAUCUACGCCAUUGAGAAUCAGCUUUUAUAGAUUUAGCUUCUAACUGUUCAUUUUGAACAAUUUAUGACAAUUUGACCUCAAAUCAGGUAGA
rnacentral:rRNA from 1 species